rnacentral:lncRNA from 1 species
AUGAGCUGCUGUAUGCCUUGCUCUGAUCUCUGCCUGCCGGCACACAAUCUUAAAUACCUACACGAAGCAAGUGCUGCUGUCAUAAUGCCAUGUGAAAAUUCUACCAGCAAAAAAUUAUGUAAAAAGACUGCUAGUUGGCCGGGCAUGGUGGCUCAUGCCUGCAAUCUCAGCACUUUGGGAGGCUGAAGGGGAGCAAAUCACCUGAGGUAAGGAGUUCGAGACCAGCCUGGCCAACAUGUUGAAACCCUGUUUCUUCUAAAAAUACAAAAAUUAGCCUGGCGUGUUGGCACACGCCUGUAAUCCCAGCUACUACUAGGGAGGCUGAGGCAAGAGAAUCACUUGAACUCAGGAGGCGGAGGUUGCAGUGAGCUCAGAUGGCACCACCGCACUCCAGCCUGGGUGACAGAGCGAGACUUCAUCUCCAAAAAAAAAUAUAUAUAUAUGUAAUAUAUAUAUAUAACAUAUAUAAUAUAUAUAAUGCUAGAUGUAUCAUGAUGAACAUUUCUUUGUUCAUGAGAAUACAAAGUUUUUAAAAAUUGCUUGAGGAAAAGGAUAAAUAUACGUUAGAGCCAGUUUCCAAAUUUAGUUUCUUUAAUUCAUAACUUUCCAGAAUUAGGAAGAAGGAAAACAAAACAGCUUUUAAAUUGUAACUUUUUUUUUUUUUAGAAAUUAGUAUCAAUUUUUAGAAACACCUAAUUAUAGUUCCAGUUAUCUACUUCAUUAUGAAAUGUGUGGGAAUACUUCAAACCUAAAGGUUCCCAUCUAGAGCAUUCUUUCUUAAAUCUUUUAUGGAAAAGGCAUUUUCUCUCACUAAGUAGCAAGACUAGGGUCUGAAAUAGUAUACUCAACAUAAUACUUUGUGAUAAUAGUUAUAUAAUGUACAAUACCUUUACACAUUUUAGGGGCAAAGACAUUUUUUGACUAACACAUUUAGCAGUAUUUCGAGAUUCUUCCAUAACAUUUGUCAUUUCUGUGACAAUAACAUUAUAGAUAGGAUUUAUAAAAUGAGUAACAUGACAAUAGCAUUACUAGACGGGGUCUCUUAAAAGGAGUAACUCAAUACCAAGUAAAGACAGAAACCUUCACUGAGUCUAAUAUAACCGUUAAUAAACACUGUCGGAGCUAUGGUCUGCCUACCAUAACCUCCAAGCCAUUCGUAAAAGGAAGGGGAAUACAGAAAAUUGAGUCUCUCUACUAGAAGGGCCACAUUUGAGCAAAUGUGUGUUUACUUACAACUUGUCCUAAUGCAGAGCUGAUCCCAGAUCUCUGCCAGCGAUGGGGGAGAAGAGCAAACACACUCCAGAUGAGAUUCUGUUCCAACUGUCUGGCUGACAGCCUUGUGGUGGGAAUGAGAGACAGGCUGAUAAAAGAGCCUGAGGGAUAAUUAAUAGUGACACAAGAACCUCCGUGAGGCUGUACCCACCCCACGCUGAACUGAAGGAGGGAAGGGCCAGGCUGCACAAAGCCUUCCCGGGGCCCUUGGUUGCUGGCCAAAUGCACCCUUUACCCGGAAAGAUGGGCUUUUGUUCAGAGUACGGGGUCUGUCCUGUUCGAUUCACAUCUGGACUCCUGGCGUGCUGUGGAGUAACUGUACUAUGAACACAGCUAUCACCACUCACAGAACAGUGUACCAGGCUGUCUACAUGUCCCCUUGACACUUCCAACUACCCUGGG